GCUACAGGAAGUGAAAUGUGAGUCUAAAGACAAUGAUGGUAAACGUGGAGAUGAACUUCAACUGAAUUGUGACAGUAAAAGAUCUGAAAUGAAUACCGAAAUUAUUCUUGCCUGCUAUCAACAUCUGUCAGAUUUACUGAGAAAACUAGAAAGUCUUCUCAAGAGGAAUGUAAAAUUAGAUAAGGAAAA